GACGAACCGUGCGACCGUUAUUCGGAAUCACUGGGCUUAAAGCGCGUGUAGGCGGGAGGGCACGUCCGUUGCUGAAAUCCCCCGGCUCAACCGGGGAACGGGCGCGGAUACGACCUUCCUGGAGGGGCGUAGGGGGACCUGGAACUUCCGGUGGAGCGGUGAAAUGCGUUGAGAUCGGAAGGAACGCCCGUGGCGAAAGCGAGGUCCUGGACGCCUACUGACGCUGAGACGCGAAAGCCAGGGGAGCGAACGGG
rnacentral:rRNA from 1 species